rnacentral:rRNA from 1 species
CCUACGUGAGGCAGCAGUGGGGAAUAUUGGGCAAUGGGCGCAAGCCUGACCCAGCAACGCCGCGUGAAGGAAGAAGGCUUUCGGGUUGUAAACUUCUUUUCUCAGGGACGAAGCAAGUGACGGUACCUGAGGAAUAAGCCACGGCUAACUACGUGCCAGCAGCCGCGGUAAUACGUAGGCGGCAAGCGUUAUCCGGAUUUACUGGGUGUAAAGGGCGUGUAGGCGGGACUGCAAGUCAGAUGUGAAAACCACGGGCUCAACCUGUGGCCUGCAUUUGAAACUGUAGUUCUUGAGUACUGGAGAGGCAGACGGAAUGCGUGGUGUAGCGGUGAAAUGCGUAGAUAUUAGGAGGAACACCAGUGGCGAAGGCGGUCUGCUGGACAGCAACUGACGCUGAGGCGCGAAAGCGUGGGGAGCGAACAGGAUUAGAUACCCGGGUAGUC